rnacentral:rRNA from 1 species
CCUACGGGUGGCAGCAGUGAGGAAUAUUGGUCAAUGGACGAGAGUCUGAACCAGCCAAGUAGCGUGAAGGAUGACUGCCCUCUGGGUUGUAAACUUCUUUUAUAAAGGAAUAAAACGAGGCACGUGUGCCUUUUUGCAUGUACUUUAUGAAUAAGGGUAGGCUAACUCAGUGCCAGCAGCCGCGGUAAUACGGAGGAUCCGGGCGUUAUCCGGAUUUAUUGGGUUUAAAGGGAGCGUAGAUGGGUUGUUAAGUCAGUUGUGAAAGUUUGCGGCCCAACCGUAAAAUUGCAAUUGUUACUGGAAGUCUUGAGUACAGGUGAGGUAGGCGGAAUUCGUGGUGUAGCGGUGAAAUGCUUAGAUAUCACGAAGAACCCCGAUUGCGAAGGCAGCUUACUAAACUGUGACUGACAUUGAGGCUCGAAAGUGUGGGUAGCAAACAGGAUUAGAUACCCCAGUAGUC